rnacentral:sRNA from 1 species
GCUGGGCAUGGUGGUGCAUGCCUGUAAUCCCAUCAACUCAGGAGGCUGAGGCAGGAGGAUGAGUUCAAAGCCAGCCUCAG